CUGCUUUAUUGCAGAGUGAAUUCAGGCACUGCAGUUCACGUUCUGCAUCUUUUUUGCAGGAAGCACUGGCAAAAUUUCACACCGCUUGUCUCCAGCCGCUGCCGUGGGAUGUGACCAGGGCACGGCGCUUCCUUGCAGAGCUCGGGUUCUUGCUCAUUUUGAAAACAUUUUCCUCUUUUCUAUGUUCCUGAAACAGAAGUUACUGGAGAUAUGAAUUAUUUUGGUUACGCUUACAACCUGUCAUGCAUUUCAGUCUGCAUUUCUUCUCAGCCUUCAGUGACUGUGGCACGACAAUUAGCUUCAUUAUCUGCAGUGGGACACAAGAUGCAGCUUCUGCAUUUCCACAUCAAGACACCAACAGUCAGUGCCUUGAUCCAACAUGUUCUGUUCAACGACAGCUUGCAAGAUGGGAUCUUAUCUCACACACAGUUAUAUGAGUUAUUUAAGCAGAUUGACAAAUAGACAUGCUUCUGUAUUAAUGAGUGGGCCAGAUCGUUUUUACUUCCUGAGGGAUUCUGAACUCAGCCUUUCACUCACUUCAUAUGAGUAUCAUAAGUACACAUUCUUAAUAUACACUUUCUUAAUAUGUGCUGUCUAAUCAUUGACCUUUGUAUGAAUUAAUGUCACAGCUAAUCCUCAGUUUAUAAGGCAUUUGAAGAAAAAAAAGGUAUCUAUAUGUAUCUUUUGUGUUUUCCUAUUUUUUGUAUUUUAUUAACUUUUAUGCUAUAGUGUCAUCUGCGUCAGCUGAAUUGAACAUGUGGUCUGAAUUUACCUCACUGGCUUUAACUAAAAUAAAUGGUGUUUAUUUAAUUAAGGCA
rnacentral:lncRNA from 1 species